AUACGUAGGUGGCGAGCGUUGUCCGGAAUUACUGGGUGUAAAGGGUGCGUAGGCGGAUUUGCAAGUCAGGUGUGAAAACUAUCGGCUUAACCGGUAGCCUGCACUUGAAACUGUAAGUCUUGAGUGGUGAAGAGGUAAGCGGAAUUCCUAGUGUAGCGGUGAAAUGCGUAGAUAUUAGGAAGAACACCAGUGGCGAAGGCGACUUACUGGACUGAAACUGACGCUGAGGCUCGAAAGCGUGGGGAGC
rnacentral:rRNA from 1 species